rnacentral:tRNA from 1 species
GUGGGUAUAGCUCAGUGGUAGAGUGUAUGCUUAGCAUGCACAAGGUCCUGGGUUCAACCCCCAGUACCUCCA